GACGAACGCUGGCGGCGUGCUUAACACAUGCAAGUCGAACGGAAAGGCCCUGCUCUUGUUGGGUGCUCGAUUGGCGAACGGGUGUGUAUCACGUGAGUAACCUUCCCUUGACUUUGGGAUAACUUCAGGAAACUGGGGCUAUUACAGGGGAUGAUCUCCUGCUGCAUGGGGGUGGUUGGAAAGUUUCGGCUGUUGGGGCUGGACUCGCGGCUUAUCAGCUGGUUGGGGGAGUAGUGGCGUACAAAGGGUUUGACGGGUAGCCGGCAUUGGAGCGUGACCGGCGACCAUGGGCCUGCGAGAGGCACCAGACUGGUACGGGAGGCAGCAGUCGGGAAUAUUGCAGAAUGGGGGGAAGCGUGAUGCAGCAGCGCCGGGUGCGGGAUGCCGGCUUUCGGGUUGUAAACAGCUUUCGACUGUGACGAAGCGUGAGUGACGGUAACGGGUCAAGAAGCAACGGCUAACUACGUG
rnacentral:rRNA from 1 species